CUAGGCAGGAAUGAUUUCUCUUCCAAAACAAAGGUAUCUCGAAUUUCAGUUAGGGGUGAUGAAAUCUCAGGAUGAACAACUGAAUGAACUCUGAUUUCAGGUUACCUGCUAGCUCCCAAGGCUCACAUUUGUAGAGGUCUACUUCAGGGAUUAUGUCGAGCUCGAUGCUUAGCCCAUGGACCUUCCUCUUGAGAAGCUUGGUCUCUUUGAAGUGUCAUAGAAGAGAACAUGACUAAAGGUUAGUGUGUUCUAGUAACAUGUCACUAUGUAUCGGGAUCAGCGCUGCAAAACAGAAAGUUUAUGGAAGUUGAUAUGCCUGUUGAAAUGGUGGAACAGUUCAAAGGUGGUUCCAAGGUGUUGUGUUGACAUCAAGGCACACUCUGAACAUUGCAGAGGCAACACGCUUGCAACAAAGUUUCACGAUGAAGACGCUUGUAAGACUACAGAUGCAAUUACGUAAGAUUAGCAGAACCAGGUGCUAUAGCUACAUUUUGGAGCCUCAUAUAACUUAACAGGACAGGUAUAGUAGUCAUAAUUGUCUUCAAUUUCCAUUCAUACGGUGCACUAUAUUU